GCCAUAAGUUAAAAAAACUCCCAAACUUCAAAUUUGGAAUUAUCUUCUUAUUAGAUUGGUCUAG
rnacentral:tRNA from 1 species